GUACACGCUGUGACUAGCAUAUCAAUAAGCGGAGGAAAAGAAACUAACAAGGAUUCCCCUAGUAACGGCGAGUGAAGCGGGAAGAGCUCAAAUUUGAAAUCUUAAAGGGUUUCCCUUUACGAAUUGUAGUUUAAAGAAGUGUUUUCUGUUGAGGUUUUGGUAAAAGUUCUUUGGAAUAGGACAUCAUAGAGGGUGAGAAUCCCGUAUUUGACCUUUACUUUCAACUUUGUGAUACACUUUCAAAGAGUCGGAUUGUUUGGGAAUGCAGUCCAAAAUGGGUGGUAAAUUUCAUCUAAAGCUAAAUAUUGGCGAGAGACCGAUAGCGAACAAGUACCGUGAGGGAAAGAUGAAAAGAACUUUGAAAAGAGAGUUAAACAGUACGUGAAAUUGUCAAAAGGGAAGCGUUUGACACCAGUGUUGCUUUUUCUGAAAAUCAAUUAAAGAACUGUUUAUGCUAAGUUGCUUAGACUUUAUCAGCUAACUGUUUAGUUUUGAGCUUUUCUUUAAUGCACUUUUCAGUUAACAAGUCAACAUCAAUUUCUUUUGCUGUAAAAAAGCUUGAGGAAGGUGGCUUGAGAUUCGUCUUAAGUGUUUAUAGCCUCUUGCCUAUGCAGUCGGAGAGAUUGAGGUCUGCAGCGUAGAUCCUUCGGAGCUAAAUGCAUUUGUGCUAAGUUAUAGCAUUUUAUAGACAACUUGUUGACUAUGAUUUGUCUUGUAGCUUACUCGCUUAUGUUAUUUUACCUACGCUUAGGAUGUUGAGUCGUAGAGCACGCAG
rnacentral:rRNA from 1 species